rnacentral:rRNA from 1 species
GACGACGCUGGCGGCGUGCUUAACACAUGCAAGUCGAACGAGUGGCGAACGGGUGAGUAACACGUAGGAACCUACCGAUAAGCGGGGGACAACAUCCGGAAACGGGUGCUAAUACCGCAUUCAAUCGAUGGCCUUGGGGGGCAUUAGCUGGUGGGUGGGGUAACGGCCUACCAAGGCAAUGAUGCAUAGCCGACCUGGGAGGUUAAUCGGCCACAUUGGGACUGAGACACGGCCCAAACUCCUACGGGAGGCAGCAGUGGGGAAUAUUGCACAAUGGGCGCAAGCCUGAUGCAGCCAUGCCGCGUGUAUGAAGAAGGCCUUCGGGUUGUAAAGUACUUUCAGCGAGGAGGCGUUACUCGCAGAAGAAGCACCGGCUAACUCCGUGCCAGCAGCCGCGGUAAUUC